rnacentral:rRNA from 1 species
CCUACGGGCGGCAGCAGUGAGGAAUAUUGGUCAAUGGGCGAGAGCCUGAACCAGCCAAGUCGCGUGAGGGAGUACUGCCCUAUGGGUUGUAAACCUCUUUUGUCGGGGAGCAAAAGCCGGACGUGUCCGGCUGUGAGAGUACCCGAAGAAAAAGCAUCGGCUACCUCCGUGCCAGCAGCCGCGGUAAUACGGAGGAUGCGAGCGUUAUCCGGAUUUAUUGGGUUUAAAGGGUGCGCAGGCGGAUUUUUAAGUCAGCGGUAAAAUCGUGGGGCUCAACCCCAUCCAGCCGUUGAAACUGGGGAUCUAGAGUGUGCGAGAGGUAUGCGGAAUGCGUGGUGUAGCGGUGAAAUGCAUAGAUAUCACGCAGAACCCCGAUGGCGAAGGCAGCAUACCGGUGCACAACUGACGCUCAGGCACGAAAGCGUGGGUAUCGAACAGGAUUAGAUACCCUAGUAGUC